rnacentral:ncRNA from 1 species
CUUUCCGAGGAGCGUUGCAGUUCACGCGCAGUGAACGAGGCUCGGAAAGCUGACCGAUAGGGUUAGUUCAAGCACCAACGACGCUCACCCACU